GAGAUCUCCUUGAAAUUAGGACAUCCUUCAGGAAGCCUAAGUGAAGUUAACCUUUAAAAAAAAAAGUAAAAUAAAAAUACGAAAUAUUAUAGGGAUAUAGAUAUACACUAAAACGGUCCACGGAAGGGCAAUGUUGCUUUUUACGUAUGCCAAGCAUUUUCUUGGCAUAUUUUCUGCUUCUUCACGUGGGUCUUGCAGAAGACUGGCAGAGAAUUGACUACACUUCACGUGGUUCAUGCAGAAGGCUGGCAGAGAAUUGAUUACUCUUCAUAUGCAAUCAAUGGAAAGAUAAAUAAAAAUGUUGGUGUAGGUAACAUACAGUAUGGAAUCAAUAAAGACCACAUUAUCAUACCCACCAAACAUGAAGUGUGAAGACACAACACCCUCCGGUCUCAAUAUAUAUCGAGACUCCUCUCUUGCAUUAUCUGUCUCUUUCUAAAAUUUGGAGGUCAAGCCCAUUUACAGAAUCCACCACUACUAUAUUUUCUCUCUAAAAUUCUCGAUCUCUCUCCGUACCCUCAUGGUUCACUUGUUCAAGCAUUCAUUUGCUCUCUCUGCGUUUCAUCUAGUAGAGCCGAUUAGGGUAAUUUCUUGUGAGAGGAAAAUAAUUGGAAUGAGCAGUAUCGGUAAAGGUAUAUAAUAAUUUUUUUGUAUAAUUAGAAUUUGUUGCUCACAAAAUGUCUUGUUGAAUUUAUGUUAAUAGAAUUGUUUGGGUGUUGAUUCUGUGUGACAAAAUAUUAUAAUCAAACCUUUCAACAAAACGUGCAAUCUCCUCCACUGAUUUGGUUGAAUAUGACAUGUUGAUAUAUAUAUAUAUAUAUAUAUAUAUAUAUAUAUCAAAUAUGACAUGUUAAGCUGCCUCUUAACAGUAUGAAAGUGUAUUAGAGAUCUAAUUUUGCUAGAGAAUCAAAUCCCAUGGGUUGUUCCAAGAGAAAUAUUCCAAGCAAGAUAUGGUUGGGAUCAUGAUAUCUACAGCCAAGUAAUUUCGUUUGCAAAUAUGGUUAUUUCUGGUUCAACAAAACGUGCAAUCUCCUCCACUGAUUUGGUUGAAUUGACAUGUUGAUAUAUAUAUAUAUAUAUAUAUAUAUAUAUAUAUAUAUAUAUAUCAAAUAUGACAUGUUAAGCUGCCUCUUAACAGUAUGAAAGUGUAUUAGAGAUCUAAUUUUGCUAGAGAAUCAAAUCCCAUGGGUUGUUCCAAGAGAAAUAUUCCAAGCAAGAUAUGGUUGGGAUCAUGAUAUCUACAGCCAAGUAAUUUCGUUUGCAAAUGUGGUUAUUUCUGGUUCAACAAAACGUGCAAUCUCCUCCACUGAUUUGAUUGAUAUCUUCCAGCAGAGUUCUGUCCAUCUUUUGGACAUUAUAAGACGUAAGAUAAUCAAGUUUGUGUUACCAAACCACAAUCCUAGAAGGCUUCAGCAUUCAAGAAUGAAAAUUUUCAUCUUCCUAAAGUUUUCAUUUGUGAGUAUUCUGAGAGGUUGUUUGUGAAUUUAAUGGCUUAUGAGUAUAAUUCUUGGACUAAAAUCCUGGUUGAUUGGAUUGUUGCAGAGUGAUGAGGAAAGUGUGAGAAUCUUCUUGUGUUAUAGUGGUGGAAAUAUAGCAUUACUGUUUAGACGGAUGACCCAUGGAUUGGAGAAAGUUGUAAAUCCGAUUAAGGUUUACCAAAACCCAAAUGUGAUACUCAUACAGCCUCUAAAGUAUUAGUGCGCAUUGUCAUAAAAUCAUAUUUCUAGUAUUUUAAAAUUAACUAGUGGCUUUGUUCCUCAAUAAUCAUUAUCAAUUAUAUUUUUUAUUCUUCUCAAUUGUAUAAUCCAAAAUUAGAAAUUUCUGCUACCUGUUAAACUUUGGUCACUUGCGAAGUAGAUUAUUUUGUGGGGUUCUAAGGAAUAUGUAAAUAACUUUCAUAUCCUUUUAAGAAGGAAGCCGUUGGGCAAUCUUCCUGGUCAAACUUCCAAGUCAAUAUAGACUUGUAACGACCGUCCAUUCAUUAGCCAGUUGCCACGUGUUCUCAUCGCCUUGGAUCUUCCGGGGUUGUUAUCAGAAUAUUCAUGCCGUGUGGGGGAGGUUUCCGUUAGCUCCAACUACCGUUUCUUUUUAUAUAACGUUGAAAUGAUUCAAUACUUUACAAUUAUUUCAAAAAUAUGUUUUAAAUUUAUCAUUUCCCAUCCCCAUUCCUCGGUCAAAUUUUUUACCUCCAUCCCCGCCCCGUACUUGUUUAAUUUUUAACCCCCUCUCUCGUCCCUUCCACGCCACAUUAGCCUCCGACCUUGCCUCUGCAUAACUUUUUUAAAUUUUAAUUCAUCUUUAACAAAAUUAACAGAGUCAUAAUAUUUUUUAAUUUAAUAAUUUAAUAAAGUUUUAAUAUAAUUAUAACAAUUUAAAGCAUGAUAAGAUGUUUAAUACAUAACGAUUAUGUUUUUUUUUCUAUGCUACGAGGAAGAGUAGCCCCGGCUAUGCUGCAGGGAUUCAUUUUUAGAAGUGAAUAUAUUAUAUAUAUAGUUAUGUAAUUUAGUAAUAUUUUAUAGCAUAUAAGGGUGAUUUUGUAAAAAUGCACUAUAAACGGGACGGGAAAGAGUAGCCCCGCCUAUAAAUAGGGCGGGGAUCCGCUGGACAUGGGAAUUUUGCCAUCUCUAGUUUUUUUACAAUAUUUUCUCAAUUGAAUACAUGCUGCAAAUUUGCAAUAGAAGUUUUGGCAAUAAUUUCGGGUGUAAAAAAGUUGAAAAAAAAAAAAAACACAUAAAGCAAAAAGUAAAAAAAAAAAAAUGAGAAGCUCAUGUGUUUAUGUCUAAAGUUACAUAUAUUUAACAAUUAGUGAAAUCAAAUUAAUAUCAAAUUAAAGUUGCCGAAUGAGUUCAUUAGAGACGUUAUCCACUAACUUUAAAGUCCAAAGUUGGUUGGUGUGUGUUUUUGUUUUUUUUUUUUUUUUGAAACUUCUAAAUAUUUUUUUAUAAUAUUUUAAAUACAAAAGGAGUCAAUAAAAGGUUGAUAAAUGAAUUACUAAAUAAAUUAUUACCUAUUUAGUGCACUACUAAUUGUUUUCAUUUUAGUUAUUGAAAAUGCAUUAGUGGAUUUUAAAAAUUGACACGACAGUUUCAUUGCAUCUUUGACCCGAAUCAAGGAAAAAUGAAUCUUGUUCUUUUAUUGAUCAGAAAUUUUUUAAUGAAAAAUACGAAUCGGAGUUUGAAAAAGGAGAAAGAGAAGUGUUAUGUAUAUUUUGUAACAAAUAUAUUCUAUUACUAAAUAUAAUUAUUUUUUUUAUGUUUUUAAAUUUUUAGUAAUAACAAGUAUUAAUAAAUAUUAUUUUUGUUUUUUAUUUUUACUCAAGGAACACAAAGUCAUGUUUUUACUUUUUUAAGUCUCUAAAAAUAAAAAACAAAAACAUUACUAAACACACUUAAUAUUUUCUCAACUGUAUUUACAUACUGCAAAUUUGUAAUAGAAGUUUUGACAAUAAUUUCGGAUGUAAAAAACACCGAAAGCAAAAAAUAAAAUUAAAAAAAUAAGAAGGCGUUCUCGUGUUUAUGUCUAACUUACUUAUAUUAAUGCAAAUAUGCUUCUAUUAAUUGUCAUCCAAAGUACCUUUCAUGUGGGGUCAUGCAUGAUCAUUUAUAUUAAUUACGGAAUAAGUUGAAUUCAAAUCAAAUACGGAGUUGCAAAUGGGUCAGCGACUUAAUAGUAUUAAAAUCUUUCUCCCUUUCUCCCAGGAGGUGAAGCAUUCAAAUAUCAAAAGAAAUAAGUAUCAAUUAAAAAAUAAAAAAUAGGAGAAAGUGUAAAAAACUUCCUGUUGGCGAAUUGCAACUAACUUUCGAAUUAUAAAAAAUUCUCUUAAACUAUGAAUUUGUUGACAAAUUGUAACUAACUCCCGUAUUAUAAAAAAUUCUCUUAAACUAUGAAUUUGUUGGAUUUUACCCCACCACGGUAGCUGCCCACGCCGAAAAAAAAUUCUGACCAGUUUACCCUUUAGAAGCGUUUUAACUUGAGCCUCACCAAAUUUUUUUUUUUGGGUGACGACACUUUUGCACUUCAGCAAGCACAACCCACACGGGCCAAACCACAGCAAGCUAGAGAGAGAAGAGAUGAGAGAGAAGACUGAUGGCGGCUCGCGGCGGCGUGAGUAUUGGAAUCGUCGUCGCUGGAGCCACCACGGCCAAGGCGAUAAGAGGAGCCCAAAAAUCAUCGUCGGAAGCACGGAGGCGUACAACGUCGGCAACCCAGAAGAAUAUGAUUCAGAGGUCCACAAAACAAUUGGGUUUGCUUAUGAUUGGGGUUAAAAUUUGUAAUUGGGUUUGCUUGUGAUGGCGACAGCGGCGAGCUCGGCUAGAUUGAAUCGGUCAUGGAUAAUGGAUUGAAUCUGCCGUGGAAGAACUGCGGCGGUUAGCUCGCUGGCGUGACUGGCACAGCGGUGGGCGACGGCGUGACAGGCGCAGCGGUGGGCGACGAGAGACGGGCUGGGAACUGAUGGUAGCGAGGACGGGCUGAAGGUCGUGUAGACGGAACUGAUGGCGGUUCGCUGUGGCAUGACUGGCGUAGCGGUGGGCGACGGCUGGUAAAAAAGGCAGCCAAAUUUUUUUAUCGAAAAUUUGUUUGGUCAAUGGACUCUUGAAGUUAGGCUAUAUUAAUCAAUUACCUCAUAACUCUCUCCUGAUAUAAAGAAAUCAUGGGUUUUGAAUUGUGAAAAUCUUUUCAACCAAUUCAUAUAAAUAAGAAAUAAGAAAAAUAAAAUGAUUGCAAUUUGUGAUUUAAAUAUGAUUAAUUAUUGAAUUACCCACAAACAUAUCAUCCAAUUUGGUGAGAUCGGAGGAUGUGUUGGUGUAGGGUUGUGCUGUGAAGAAGACGAACUGUGAAGAUGUACUGUGAAGAAGUGAACAGUGAAGAUGUGUAUAUAUAUAUAUAUGCGUGUAUAUACAGAAUAGCCUAAGGGAGUGUUUGGCUAUAACAAAUACUGUUUGAGUAAAUAUCAUCACAAUAAGGGACAUUAGAGGCUUUUCAUGCACAUAAGGGCAUUUUAGUCAUUAUAUUAUACAUUGUUUGUCACGUGACAGCCACAUGGUCCUUUGCCGGUAAGUUUUGACCGGAAGCCUGGCGACUGGGGUGAUCUGCAACAAAAAUAUAGUUGAAGGGGGAUUUUUGAAAUUUUUGUAAUUUAGGGGAUUUGUUGCUUAUUGACCAAUAAUUUAGAAAGGUUUUUUGCAUUUUAUCCUAAAAAAAUAAAAAUACGGAGUAUUAUAUAGGGAUAUAGAUAUACACUAAAAACGGUGCACGGAAGGACAAUUUUGCUUUUUACGCACGCAUGCCAAGCAUCUUGGCAAAUUAUCUGCUUCCUCACGUCGCUUUUACAGAAGGCUAGCAAAGAAUCAACUACUCUUCACGUGGUUCAUGCCAGAAGGCUGGCACAGAAUUGAUUACUCUUCAUAUGUAAUCAAUGGAAAGAUAAAUAAAAAUAUAGGUGUAGGUAACGUACAGUAUGGAAUCAAUAAAGACCAUUAUCAUACCCACCAGACAUGAAGUGUGAGGACACAGCAGCCUCCAUCUCAAUACAUAUCGCGAGUCCUCUCUUGCAUUAAAUUUCUCUCUCUAAAAUUUGGAGAUUAGGUUUAUUUCUUGUGAGGAGAAUAAUUGGAAUGAGUAUCGGUAAAGGUUUGUUUCCCAAAAAGGAAUAAGAAUGAUGUUUUGAUGAGUUCUUGAAGAUCGAAGCAUAUCGGGCCGGGGAUCUACAGUUUGCAAAGCUAAUUCGUGCCAUUGAACUCAUGGCAUUCUCUACAUCGUGCUAAGAAGGAAGUAGCGUCAUCAGGCCGAGCCAAAGGUCAAUUUUAAGAGAGUGUUUUUGAGCCUAGGAGCAUUGCGGGCGCCCGCCAGCCUCAUGCACAAUUCCUACGAGUGCCCGCCAUUUUGUGAUCAUUGAAUUUAAAUUCCAAAGGAAGAAAGAAUUGCAUUCCAGUAAGUUUUAAAUUUGGCGGGGCGCCUGCCAUUUGCCAUCAGGAGAGCCAAGGAUGCCCUUUGCCAGCGUGUGGAAGCCCCCUUGACACCUCGCGGGUGCCCGCCAAGCUACAGAUAGUAGGUCGCCAACUCCAUUGUUUUGCUCAAUGUUGUCUCCUUAACUAAAUGAAUGGCGCUGCACUCUUCUAGGGAUUUCUAGCCACUAGAUUAAUUGAUUUUGGUAGGAUUUUUAGCUCAUAAAAAGGGCUUGAAUGGUUGUAAAGACAUAUCCAACUUUGUAAGGUUUUUUAGAGAGAAAUAUUGUGUUCUUGA